GCUAAGGUGGCAGAGCCCGGUAAUUGCAGAAGGCCUAAGACCUUCCACCCAGGGGUUCAACUCCCCUCCUUCAGCU
rnacentral:tRNA from 11 species